AUAACGGUCCUAAGGUAGCGAAAUUCCUUGUCAGGUAAGUUCUGACCCGCACGAAUGGCGUAAUGAUUUGGGCACUGUCUCGACAGCCCGCCCGGCGAAAUUGUAGUACUGGUGAAGAUGCCAGUUACCCGCAACUAGACGGAAAGACCCCAUGGAGCUUUACUGCAGCUUAAUACUGGAAAUCGGUAAUUCAUGUACAGGAUAGGUGGGAGACGGAGAAGCAUGGUCGUCAGGUCAUGUGGAGUCGUCCUUGGGAUACCACUCUUGGAUUGCUGAUUUUCUAACCUGCGGCCGUGAAUCCGGUCGGGGGACACUGUUAGGCGGGCAGUUUGACUGGGGCGGUCGCCUCCAAAAAGGUAACGGAGGCGCUCAAAGGUUCGUUCAGCACGGACGGAAAUCGUGCAUUGAGUGUAAACGCAUAAACGAGCCUAACUGCGAGACCGACGGGUCGAGCAGUAACGAAAGUUGGAGUUAGUGAUCCGGUGGUAUGUGAGUGGAAAUGCCAUCGCUCAACGGAUAAAAGUUACCCUGGGGAUAACAGGCUGAUCUCCCCCAAGAGUCCACAUCGACGGGGAGGUUUGGCACCUCGAUGUCGGCUCAUCGCAUCCUGGGGCUGAAUUCGGUCCCAAGGGUUUGGCUGUUCGCCAAUUAAAGCGGCACGCGAGCUGGGUUCAGAACGUCGUGAGACAGUUCGGUCCCUAUCUGUUGCGGGCGUAAGAGAUUUGAAGGGAGCUGUCCUUAGUACGAGAGGACCGGGAUGGACGUACCUCUGGUGCACCAGUUGUCCUGCCAAGGGCAUAGCUGGGUAGCUAUGUACGGACGAGAUAAACGCUGAAAGCAUCUAAGCGUGAAACUCCCCCUAAGAUGAGAUUUCUCAUUCGAAAGAAGUAAGGACCCAGAGAGACGAUCUGGUUGAUAGGCGCGAGGUGGAAGUGCAGUAAUGUAUGGAGCUGACGCGUACUAAUAGUCCGAGGGCUUGACCUA
rnacentral:rRNA from 1 species